GAUGAACGCUGGCGGCGUGCCUAAUACAUGCAAGUCGAGCGAACGGACGAGAAGCUUGCUUCUCUGAUGUUAGCGGCGGACGGGUGAGUAACACGUGGAUAACCUACCUAUAAAACUGGGAUAACUUCGGGAAACCGGAGCUAAUACCGGAUAAUAUUUUGAACCGCAUGGUUCAAAAGUGAAAGACGGUCUUGCUGUCACUUAUAGAUGGAUCCGCGCUGCAUUAGCUAGUUGGUAAGGUAACGGCUUACCAAGGCAACGAUGCAUAGCCGACGUGAGAGGGUGAUCGGCCACACUGGAACUGAGACACGGUCCAGACUCCUGCGGUAGGCAGCAGUAGGGAAUCUUCCGCAGUGGUCGAAAGCCUGACGGAGCAACGCCGCGUGAGUGAUGAAGGUCUUCGGAUCGUAAAACUCUGUUAUUAGGGAAGAACAUAUGUGUAAGUAACUGUGCACAUCUUGACGGUACCUAAUCAGAAAGCCACGGCUAACUACGUG
rnacentral:rRNA from 1 species